GUGGGCGUUUAAUGGACCGGAUUUGCACGUUUUAAUUGUAGAUGCUCUAAGGCGGUUCAAUAUAUCCAAACAAAAGACAUAAAUGAGUACUACGUAUACACACGUUUUUGUACGAGGUAUAAUUCGAUUUAGAUUCCAGCACCUCCGUAGGUACAAAUUAAUUAAUUAACUUACCCGGCCUUAAAACAAUAUUUACCCCCCAACCCGAACGGCCGCUGAUUUUUCCAGCUCUGACCUCGGUGGCUAAUUACAGCAUCCAGUAAAUAGUAACCGGAGAGGGCCCACCCAAAUUAACCCAACCCAGCCCUACCACACCACGCCGGUGGCAGAGCCCCCCCUUCCUUCCUUCCUUCCUAAUCCGAACCCGCAACGCCGAGGGGGGAAAUCCUCGGCUUCUCCCGCGCUUUCGCCUCGCGUCCCGUCCCUAUAAAACCCGGCCAUCCUCCGACGACCAAUCCAUCCAUCCAUCCAUCCAUCCAUCAAGCAGGAGCAGCAACAACACACAGCCACCGUCCUCGGCCCUCUGCUCUGCUCCGCUCCGCUCAGCCAUCGACCUCCCCUCCCCUGCGCCGGCGGUUGCAGGGAGAGGGCGUGCAGCGUAGCCAUGGUGGUGAACAACAAGGUGGAGACCCUGGCGUUCGACGUGGAGGCGGGGCAGGGACAGGGGCCCCGGCCGAAGGGGGCGGCGGAAUCGGGGGCGGCGGGNNNN
rnacentral:lncRNA from 1 species